rnacentral:tRNA from 1 species
GCGUUGUUGGUGUAGUGGUUAGCAUUGAAGCCUUCCAUCGGUGCACAUGCACCCCUCGGAAUAGCUUUAGUCCGGGGUUCGAAUCCCCGACAACGCA